UUUAUUUUCAUGCACAUCCCUAAAAAAUUGGAAUGGAAAUGAGAAGAUUUGCAUGGCUCCUGUGCAAGGAUACCAGGCAAAUUGGUGAAGCGUUACAUAUCCAU
rnacentral:snRNA from 1 species